UCACAGUCAAGGGAAAUGUAAAUGAGAAUAAAGAUGCAGUAUUAGGCCGAGAGUGGUGGCUCACACCUGUAAUCCCAGCACUUUGGGAGUACGAGGAGGUAGAUCACCUGAGGUCAGGAGUUCAAGACCAGCCUGGCCAACAUGUUGAAACCCCGUCUGUACUAAAAAUACAAAAAGUAGCCAGACGUGUUUUGUGUUUAGUGCAAUACCAUAAAACUUGAAUAACACUAUGGGACCCACAAAAAGUGCCAUUAGUGAUGCUAGAAGUACUCCCAAGAAGCAGAGAAAAGUCAUGAUGUUACAAGAAAAAGUUGAGUUGCUUGAUAUGUACUGUACAUUGAAUAGUUGCCUGCCACUUCAGACAGACGAUUUUUCUUGUAAACAGAUGGUGUAAACUUAUAGUGUUGAUAAAUACAAGACUGUGGCAGGAGGAUUGCUUGAGCCCAGGAGUUCGAGACCAGCCUGGGCAACAUAGCAAGACUUUUUUUUUUUUUUUUUUUUUUUUGCGACAGAGUUUUGCACUUGUUGCCCAGGCUGGAGUGCAAUGGCGUGAUCUCCGCUCACUGCAACCUCCACUCCCGCGUUCAAGCGAUUCUCCUGUCUCAGCCUCCCAAAUAGCUGGGAUUAUAGGCAUGCACCAACACGCUCAGCUUUUUGUAUUUUUAGUAGAGACAGGGUUUCACAAUGUUGGCCAGAAUGGUCUCGAUCUCUUGACCUUGUGAUCCACCUGCCUUGGCCUCCCAAAGUGCUGGGAUUACAGGCAUGAGCCACCGAGCCUGGCCAAGACUCUUUAACAAAAGAAACUUAUGUGUUUAUUUUCAACUGAGCAGGGGUCAGUGCCCCUAACCUCCAUGUUAUUCAAGGGUCAGUUGUAUUUUCCAAGGGAUUUACAUAUUUAUUUACUUAUUUAUUUAUUUAUUUAUUUUUGAGACAGAGUCUCAAUCUGUCGCCCAGGCUGGAGUGCAGUGGUGCGAUCUCGGCUCACUGCAACCUCCACCUCCCGGGUUCAAGUGAUUCUCCUGCGUCAGCCUCCCGAGUAGCUGGGAUUACAGGCACGCGCCACCACACCUGGCUAAUUUUUGUAUUGUAGUAGAGACAGGGUUUUGCCAUUUUGGCCAGGCUGCUCUCAAACUCCUGACCUCAAGUGGUCCACCCACCUCGGCUUCCCAAAGUGCUGGGAUUACAGGCAUGAACCGCCAAGUCCGGCUGGGGUUUACAUUUAGCUCAAAGAAAAUCUGUGCCCUUGCUCCCCAUACCUUCACCCCGUUGAUAAAAGCACAGUUGGCUUCCAACACUGCCCUCUUUUCUCUGUGGCCACAGGCAGCUGUGAUCCCAGCCACUCACCAUUGUGUUUCAAGGUGUUACAGGCUCAACAAAAUAUAUGGCUAUAUAUUGGUGAUUUUGCCUCAACAACAUAUAUUGUCCCUCAACAAGAUAUAUUGAAGUCCUAACUCCCAGCACCCCAGAAUGUGACUAGAUUUGGAAAUAGGAUCUUUAC
rnacentral:lncRNA from 1 species